rnacentral:rRNA from 1 species
CCUACGGGAGGCAGCAGUGAGGAAUAUUGGUCAAUGGACGAGAGUCUGAACCAGCCAAGUAGCGUGAAGGAUGACUGCACUAUGGGUUGUAAACUUCUUUUAUCAAGGAAUAAAACGAGGCACGUGUGCCUUUUUGUAUGUACUUUAUGAAUAAGGAUCGGCUAACUCCGUGCCAGCAGCCGCGGUAAUACGGAGGAUCCGAGCGUUAUCCGGAUUUAUUGGGUUUAAAGGGAGCGUAGAUGGGUUGUUAAGUCAGUUGUGAAAGUUUGCGGCUCAACCGUAAAAUUGCAGUUGAUACUGGCAGUCUUGAGUACAGUUGAGGUAGGCGGAAUUCGUGGUGUAGCGGUGAAAUGCUUAGAUAUCACGAAGAACCCCGAUUGCGAAGGCAGCUUACUAAACUGUGACUGACAUUGAUGCUCGAAAGUGUGGGUAUCAAACAGGAUUAGAUACCCUUGUAGUC